CCUACGGGUGGCAGCAGUGAGGAAUAUUGGUCAAUGGCCGUAAGGCUGAACCAGCCAAGCCGCGUGAAGGAAGAAGGAUCUAUGGUUUGUAAACUUCUUUUAUAGGGGAGUAAAGGUAUCGACGUGUGGAUAUUUGCAUGUACCCUAUGAAUAAGCAUAGGCUAACUCCGUGCCAGCAGCCGCGGUAAUACGGGGGAUGCGAGCGUUAUCCGGAUUUAUUGGGUUUAAAGGGUGCGUAGGUUGUUUUUUAAGUCAGCGGUGAAAGUUUGUGGCUUAACCAUAAAAUUGCCGUUGAAACUGGAAGACUUGAGUGUGUUUGAGGUAGGCGGAAUGCGUGGUGUAGCGGUGAAAUGCAUAGAGAUCACGCAGAACUCCGAUUGCGAAGGCAGCUUACUAAGCCAUAACUGACACUGAGGCACGAAAGCGUGGGGAGCAAACAGGAUUAGAUACCCUAGUAGUC
rnacentral:rRNA from 1 species